rnacentral:rRNA from 1 species
AUACGUAGGGGGCAAGCGUUGUCCGGAAUUACUGGGUGUGAAGGGUGCGUAGGCGGCCUUGCAAGUCAGAUGUGAAAGAUCACGGCUUAACUGUGGUAAGCAUUUGAAACUGUAAGGCUUGAGUGCAGGAGAGGAGAGUGGAAUUCCUAGUGUAGCGGUGAAAUGUGUAGAUAUUAGGAAGAAUAUCAGUGGCGAAGGCGGCUCUCUGGACUGCAACUGACGCUGAGGCACGAAAGCGUGGGGAGCAAACAGGAUUAGAUACCCUGGUAGUCCACGCUGUAAAAGAUGAGUGCUAGGUGUCGGGGGUCAUACCUCGGUGCCGCAGUUAACGCAUUAAGCACUCCACCUGGGGAGUACGGCCGCAAGGCUGAA